rnacentral:rRNA from 1 species
AGGACGAACGCUGGCGGCGUGCCUAACACAUGCAAGUCGAGCGAGGAGAUCCUUCGGGAUGAUCCUAGCGGCGGACGGGUGAGUAACACGUGGGCAACCCGCCUCAUAGAGAGGAAUAGCCUUCCGAAAGGGAGAUUAAUACCUCAUAACAUUGCAGUUUCGCAUGGAACAGCAAUUAAAGGAGUAAUCCGCUAUGAGAUGGGCCCGCGGCGCAUUAGCUAGUUGGUGAGGUAACGGCUCACCAAGGCGACGAUGCGUAGCCGACCUGAGAGGGUGAUCGGCCACAUUGGGACUGAGACACGGCCCAGACUCCUACGGGAGGCAGCAGUGGGGAAUAUUGCACAAUGGGGGAAACCCUGAUGCAGCAACGCCGCGUGAGUGAUGACGGCCUUCGGGUUGUAAAGCUCUGUCUUCAGGGACGAUAAUGACGGUACCUGAGGAGGAAGCCACGGCUAACUACGUGCCAGCCGCGGC